UACGUAGGGCGCAAGCGUUGUCCGGAAUUAUUGGGCGUAAAGAGCUCGUAGGCGGUUUGUCGCGUCUGUCGUGAAAAUCCAGGGCUCAACCCUGGACCUGCGUUCGAUACGGGCAGACUAGAGUUCGGUAGGGGAGACUGGAAUUCCUGGUGUAGCGGUGAAAUGCGCAGAUAUCAGGAGGAACACCGGUGGCGAAGGCGGGUCUCUGGGCAUUACCUGACGCUGAGGAGCGAAAGUGUGGGGAGCGAACAGG
rnacentral:rRNA from 1 species